rnacentral:piRNA from 1 species
UUACAGGGCAGAAAAGAAACUCAUUU